AGCCGGGUCGUCUAGCGGCCAAGGAUUCGGGGCUCUGGAACCCCCGAGACCGGGGUUCGAAUCCCCGCCCGGCUACCA
rnacentral:tRNA from 1 species